UUGGGCCCAACUUGUAGCAAUAUGCUGCACCAUGUGGGCCGUUACUGAUAAGCCGUGCUAUUGAUUCGCGAUGAUUCAAGAGUGUGGAUGCAGGGGAUGCAAAAUCCACAAAGGACAUUGUUUCCUGGACAUAGCAAGGCAAUGGCCAUGAAGGUUGGAAUCUGAGUGUGUAACAACCCAACUGCUGAU
rnacentral:rRNA from 1 species